rnacentral:rRNA from 1 species
UACGUAGGAUGCAAGCGUUGUCCGGAAUUAUUGGGCGUAAAGAGCGCGCAGGCGGUUUGGAAAGUUGGACGUGAAAUUUUAGGGCUUAACCCUAAAGGGUCGUCCAAAACUCCCAGACUAGAGUGCAGGAGAGGAAAGCGGAAUUCCCGGUGUAGUGGUGAAAUGCGUAGAUAUCGGGAGGAACACCAGAGGCGAAGGCGGCUUUCUGGCCUGUAACUGACGCUGAGGCGCGAAGGCUGGGGUAGCGAACAGG